UGGGGAAUAUUGGACAAUGGGCGAAAGCCUGAUCCAGCAAUGCCGCGUGAGUGAUGAAGGCCUUAGGGUUGUAAAGCUCUUUUACCAGGGAUGAUAAUGACAGUACCUGGAGAAUAAGCUCCGGCUAACUCCGUGCCAGCAGCCGCGGUAAUACGGAGGGAGCUAGCGUUGUUCGGAAUUACUGGGCGUAAAGCGCGCGUAGGCGGUUUUUUAAGUCAGGGGUGAAAUCCCGGAGCUCAACUCCGGAACUGCCCUUGAAACUGGAUGACUAGAAUCCUGGAGAGGCGAGUGGAAUUCCGAGUGUAGAGGUGAAAUUCGUAGAUAUUCGGAAGAACACCAGUGGCGAAGGCGACUCGCUGGACAGGUAUUGACGCUGAGGUGCGAAAGCGUGGGGAGCAAACAGGAUUAGAUACCCCCGUAGUCC
rnacentral:rRNA from 1 species